rfam:Camelus ferus unplaced genomic scaffold scaffold1024, whole genome shotgun sequence.
GGGUAUAUAUCUCAGUGGUAGAGCAUGUGCUUAGUAUGCGUGAGGUCCUGGGUUCAAGCCCCAGUAUCUCCA